AAGAAAUCCACUAUCAGAGAUUACCAAGAAAAGUCUGGUUUCCCGGCCGCAGUCACGUCUGCAGAGGAAUCUCAUCUCAUCAGGAACUGCCAUCCCCACUCCAGACACAGAAGGAACUCCGACCUGUCCCACCAUCACUCCCAACCCUCUUGAACUUAAAGAUCUUCUGUGAAUAUUUGAAGGCAACUCAAAAUGAGGUUCUUAGAGACACUGAAAAUGCAAUGACUUUUCCAAGCUUCCCUCCAGUACCGUGCCCGGUGGGGAGAUUAAUCCACCCUCCACUGAUGAAGUCAGCAUGUCUAGGAGCCUCUACUGAUUGUGAAUUAGAGGCUGUUCACUUACUCUCCGCUGCUGGGAAAGCAGCCACAGUAGCUCCAAGUCUUUGUUCCCCCCAGAAGCCAAUUAACCCUAUGGGUGGAAAAUACAUUUUCUGACCCAGCUGCAGUUUUUUAUUUCCUAGUCUCCCCUUCAA